rnacentral:ncRNA from 2 species
UUCAACCCAUGGGGGUGCCCGGCGGCAUCAGCGGUUGCCGGGCUGAGAAAAGCGUUUAACGCUUUACCCUUUGAACCUGAUCUGGGUCAUACCAGCGUAGGGAAAUGGGUGAACGGUUAGC